GAGGCUCAGAGCCCGCAGUUCCCAGGGACUGUUUCCUGCAGCAGUGCAGCAUUUGCAAACACCCCAUGACUCCCAGGCAUACUGAGCAUUAGGCUGGCUCAUGCCCAAAUUGUAAUGUUGGAAUUUACCCCAACUGGAAAAAAAGAAAAAACCCAAAACAAAUAAAACAUCUUAAAAAGCUCUUUUUGACUUUUAAACCUAUGAAGAGGUCCAGUCUGGCUGGGACUGGCACAGGCACCAAAGCUGCUCUUGCUCUCUGACAGAUUGCAAUAGCUCAACAGCAUGUUAGAGCAGAAGUGGCAAACCAGCUGUGAGUUUGACAAGGGGUUUCGGCAGUGGCACCCAUGACAAUGAGCGUUAAUGCUUUUGAAAUACAUUUUCACCAUUGCAGUUCCUUAGAAGGGACUUUUUACUGGUUACCAGCUUACAUCACCCUGUCCCUUCACCAAAUGCACUGUUCAGUCCAUUUAUGUCAUGCAUUAAAUAGAGACCUAAAUUAACCACACAAUAACAGUUUCAUCACCAGAAAGAGCUGCUAGCACUCAUGGGGAGUAAGACUAUACCUGAAGUGUAGAAAUUGACUGUAAGGUCAUCUUCUUUUCAUUUUUUAAAAAUUCUUUUAUUCUUUCUCUCUGUCUUCCUUGAACUCAACCUCCUCAAGGUACAUGAAAAGCAUAUUACAAGGGACUCAUUAUCUUCCAUUUCUCUGCCUCCUAUUUCUUGCCAAUGGAAGACCAUUUCCCUGAUUUUAGGGAGAAACCCUACAAGUGAUAUAAAAAGUAAGUAUUUAAACUAUCAUGAAGAAAACACCUGCCUGGUUAACCCAACCUGCAUGUGCUGCAAAGAGGAUACCAAAAUAUACACAAACAAUCUGACAUCCCUACAUUUCUUACUCUGUACAUUUCCGACUUAAUUGAGAGAAUGAAGGCGACAUAACUCUGUUUGGAAGGAGGUGCAGUUUGCAUAUUCUAUCUGUAAAUAAUUCUACAUAUUCUAUCUGUAAAAAAAUCUGUAAAUAAAGAAAUCUGGUAAAUUAUUUGUGUAACAGCAAAGUCAGAAUAAAGGAUUGUUUCAUCCCAGGGCUGAUGGUGACUCUCCCAGAUUUUUGUUUCAGUAAAGCACCUUUCAUGUGUAGGUAUUGUUUCUGUUCAGAUCAUUGGCAAAGAGGUACAGGUAUCAGGACAAUUGCAGACAGAGUUUAGAGUCUUAACCUGCUGCGGUGGAGCCAACAACAGAAGCUCAGAUGACUUCAGCCACACAGAUUCAGACCUGAAAGAUCAACACAGGAAAAUAUAUGUGAAAAGGUAUGCAAGAGAAAAAGAGAAAGCAGGUUUCCAUGGGUGUUCUUCGAAAUAGGUAUUUAUUUUAAAAUGUAAUUUUGAUUGUAGAUUUACAUGUUUCAACCAUAUGAAAAAUGUAGAUCACAUGGAGAGUUCUUUCCUGGUUAAAAUAAUUAAAAUAGAAGAUGGAUUUUCACUUUACAUAAUCAUCUCUGAAAUUCUUUAAUUUUUCUUAUUAUUGUGAAAUUUGCACAUCUGCUCUGGCCCAGUAUUCUCCCAGCCUUCCCUGAUAUUCUUUUGUAUCUGCUUACCACUGGCCUGUUGUACAGUAAUACUGAAUUUAGAGGGCUUAUUUUUCCUUGUUAAAAUCCGUGACUCUUUCAGUCUAAUUGGGGGUAUAUAUACAAAAUGACAGUAUUAACAACAUGUACUAUGUAUCAAAAGUACCCCAAAGCAAAUGGUAGACAAGACAGACACAAAUGCUGGUACCUGGUAAGUAAUCAAAUGUGUUCCUAAGCACAACUCCUUUGUAAGUACAAUAACUUCUUGUUUUCUUAACAAGCUAAGUUCAUCCAAUGUCCUUAGCAUAGGUAUGGUCUUUGCAGACACCAGAUGGUACAGUGAGGUUUUUCCUCACCCUAACUCUGUAUUUAAAGUUUACCAUUCCCUCUACUCUGUGCUUGUUCUGCUCCUCUAGAAAUAGCCUUUGAGUUCACACAAACCCAGCUUACAUGGCACUGAGGUUGGGAUGUGGUCUCUGGUAAACCAAAAGGAAAAAACAAAUGAAAGAGUGUUACAUAAACCUCCUGUCUUGAAAUUCUGCCUAGAAAUUAUCAAAACCACAGACAAGCAGAUAGAGCACAGGAUCUCAGCUGCUGAGGUCAUCCGCUUCCUUUGAGAUUAUAUAGAUCAGAAAUACUCAAACCUUUACCACCUUUCCCCACACGUUCAAUUAGUAUUUAGUGCAGACUAGCAGCAUUUUCAGCAAGGUGAAAUGGGCCUGAAAGAAAGCAAGCUGUUUACUAAGUAAGCAGUCCCAGACUGAAUUGCCCCUGAACACUGCAAAUUAUGAAAAAAUUUGGUCAUGUGAAAGACCUCAAAGACCUGUGCCCUUAGAGGUCUGGGCUAGAUUUUUAUCUUAGAUUUCUUAGGCUAAUGUAGUUUCUCAGUUCCUUUCCCAUGACUUUUCUAUUUCUGAUGUUAUCUAAGCAUAUGUGACAUACUUUCCCAUUCAGAUCUAGGGGUACAUAGUUCAUUAACUGGUGUCUUAUAUUUUAGCUAUACAACAUGCUUAGGGAUUGUCAUGGCUACUUUUUAAGCAUGUGGGGAUAUUGGGGGAGGGAAAGAAAGUUCUUGGCGGGGAGUGUUGGUAAAGUUGCUUUUAUUAGAUAUGGAUGUUUGCCAGUAGCUUAACUUUAAAACUAGUGCUGACUGUAAUUUUCAUUUGCUAUAAGGCUUUUGCAGUCCCUUCCCCUUCUUGGCUUUUGUGUAAUUUGGCUUAUUAAAAAUAUUAUUAUUAUUCUUUAUAUAUUCCAAUAAAAGGUUUAAACAACUUA